AAAAAAAAAAAAAAAAGAUUGUUUAUUUGGAUUUGUUUAAUUGAAAUUUUUAAAAUUUCUUGAUUGAUUGGUGCUGGAUUGUUCAUCUUUAGACCGUAAAUGAUGCCACAUAUUGUUCAUCUAGAUUUGUUUGAUUGAACUUUUGUUGAAAUUAUUUAAAUUUCUAGAUUGGUUGUUUUUGGGUUAUUCAUGGGUGAAGAUGUGUUAUUUGGUUGGGCAUGUCUUCCUUUCAUUCUUUGAAACUGAUCGGUUAAAAUCAAACAUUUGUUAGUUUGGUUCGGUUUGGUUAUACCUAUAUUAUUGGUUCGGUUCGGUUCAGAUUUAUUAUGAAAUUUGGUUUUCGGUUUUUUCAG
rnacentral:misc_RNA from 1 species